CACAGCGCCCCCUGCCGGCAGCAGGCUCCCGUUCACCUGCGGUUGCUUGGGCGGCAGUGGACGAUGCUCCCCUAGCAAUGCGGACUUGGCCUUUGCCUGAUCCCACCCUGGUUCACGUCGGUGGGUGAGUCCUUCGCAGCAGCGCUCCUGGGGCUGCACAGGGCGAGAAAGUCACUGGAAACCGACUGCUUCUCUGAGAGUAACUGUUAGUACAGAGAAUGAUUCUGAGUUUUGUGAGUGACUGAUUUCACCUCGGCUUUACUCCUUCGCGCCGCAUCCCAUCUAUUAACUGCAGCUUCCCGGGUCAGCUGAUGGGAUUACGAACAAAAACAAAGUUAUCGUCAAUGUUUGAAAGUUUCAUAAAGAGAAAAUGCCAGCGGGGAUCUACUCCUCUGAAACGCAAGAAGACUCUGUAAUUGCUGAUCGAGUUCUCGAUUGCAACAUCUCGGGAAUUUCGCGCACAGCAUUCCCAGAACUAGUCUGGUGAGGAAAUGUAAAGAAAAACAAACUCGCAGCCGCAUUUCCCGUGAUGAUCCUUUAUUCACAGGGCACAAACACUGCAUGUUUUCUUUUAUUGUUUCGUUCCUUUUGAGACAGGGCCUCGCUAUCAGCUAUGGCUGGCCUGGAACUCGCUAUGUACACCAUUUAUUGAUUGACUGAUUGAUUGAUUGCAGAUACGUGAAAGAAUGUUACAAUACACACACGUGGAGGGAUUUGAGCGGGGGCCUCAUGCUGCACCACUGAUCUAGGGUAUGAAGGCAUUAAGAAGACCAAUCUGUGUUUUCCUUCUCUCAUUUUUGACAACUUCCUCACAAUAAUCAUGUUUGGCUUUCAUUCUAAUUGAGGUAGCAUCUAUUCAUCUCCAUGCAUGUCUGUUUGCUCAGGGCUAUCUCAUUCCCCAAACAGGGUUAUGUAUUCACAGUGACACAGACCUCACCUCAGCAGCUUUUCUGAGUUUUCACAGCUCCUUAGAUCCCAGUGUCACUUUUUUUUUUUAAACACAAAAAUACCUAAGUGCUAAUGUGAAUUCCUUCAGCGGAUUAGUAAGUACUUCUUAAGAGCUCUGUGCUACAUGCAGUAUUGUACUAAAACCUGUAAAUUCAGCUAAAUUACUUUGAUUCCUGCAAGGCUUUGUACUGGGAAGACAAAUCUCUGUAAUAAAAGCACAGGCAAACAGAAAGAAGGCAGCAGGGAAGCCAUGUUUUAUUUUACUCCAAGUAUGAACUUACUAUCAGCUUCAUACUUUUUUGAAAGCCAUUCAAAAGCCAUUUGAAAUGUAGGUUUAUGUUAGCAUACUAAGGACAAAUCCCACACAUAUUUGGAGAUACUAGCCAAUGAUUGUAUACUUGUGUGUAUUUAUAAAUAUAUGGAAAUGAACACAUGGCUAGGAGUAUGGUCAAACACUGGAUAGACUUUUGCUGAAGGUGAAGGGACCAGCUCCCCAUUUCAGUAGCCAUGACAGUAACACGUGCUUGCCAUGACCUUGUCCUAGUCACUAGAAUUCAGAUGCCUGCCUCGUGGCAAG
rnacentral:lncRNA from 1 species